rnacentral:rRNA from 1 species
GACGAACGCUGGCGGCGUGCCUAAUACAUGCAAGUCGAGCGAGCGGCGGACGGGUGAGUAACACGUAAGGAACCUACCGAUAAGCGGGGGACAACAUCCGGAAACGGUUGCUAAUACCGCAUACUUAACGAUGGCCUUGCGGUGCAGUAGCUCGGUGGUGGGGUAACGGCCUACCAAGGCAAUGAUGCAUAGCCGACCUGAGAGGUGAAUCGGCCACAUGGGGACUGAGACACGGCCCAAACUCCGACGGGAGGCAGCAGUAGGGAAUCUUCCGCAAUGGGCGCAAGCCUGACGGAGCCACGCCGCGUGAGUGAAGAAGGUUUUCGGAUCGUAAAGCUCUGUUGUAAGAGAAGCGGUAUCUGACCAGAAAGCCACGGCUAACUACGUGCCAGCAGCCGCGGUAAUAC